CAACCUACCUUCGAGUUCGGGAUAGCCCUGGGAAACCAGGAUUAAUACCGGAUGUGGUCACAUUGAGACAUCUCAGUGUGUGUAAAGGCGCAAGCCGCUCGAUGACGGGCUCGCGGCCUAUUAGCUAGUUGGUGGGGUGACGGCCUACCAAGGCGAUGAUGGGUAGCUGGUCUGAGAGGACGAUCAGCCACACUGGGACUGAGACACGGCCCAG
rnacentral:rRNA from 1 species